AGAGUUUGAUCCUGGCUCAGGAUGAACGUUGGCGGCGUGCUUAACACAUGCAAGUCGAACGCAGAUAGCAAUAUUUGAGUGGCGCACGGGUGAGUAACACGUAGCUUACCUACCCUGAAGAGUGGGAUAACGUUCCGAAAGGGAUGCUAAUACCGCAUAAGCUUCCGAGUUCUAGAGACUUGGGAGAAAACGGGGAAACUCGCUUCAGGAGGGGGCUGCGGCCCAUCAGCUAGUUGGUGAGGUAAAGGCUUACCAAGGCGACGACGGGUAGGGGACCUGAGAGGGUGACCCCCCACACUGGGACUGAGACACGGCCCAGACUCCUACGGGAGGCAGCAGUGAGGGAUAUUGCACAAUGGGCGCAAGCCUGAUGCAGCGACGCCGCGUGGAUGAUGAAGGCUUUCGGGUCGUAAGAUCCUUUUGCGCGUGACGAGAGAUAGGACGGUAGCGCGCGAAUAAGUCUCGGCUAACUACGUGCCAGCAGCCGCGGUAAAACGUAGGAGACAAACGUUAUCCGGAGUUACUGGGCGUAAAGGGCGUGCAGGCGGCUUGAUAAGUUCGGCGUGAAAUUUCCCGGCUUAACCGGGGGAUGUCGUCGGAGACUGUCGAGCUAGAGGGUGAUAGAGGCGUGUGGAAUUCCGGGUGUAGUGGUGAAAUGCGUAGAGAUCCGGAGGAACACCAGUGGCGAAGGCAACACGCUGGGUCAUACCUGACGCUAAAACGCGACAGCAUGGGGAGCGAACGGGAUUAGAAACCCCGGUAGUCCAUGCCGUAAACGAUGCCAACUCGGUGUUUGGUCCGGGGAACCGGACUGGGUACCCAAGCAAACGCGGUAAGUUGGCCGCCUGGGGAGUACGGUCGCAAGAUUAAAACUCAAAGGAAUUGACGGGGGCCCGCACAAGCAGCGGAGCGUGUGGUUUAAUUCGAGGCUACACGAAGAACCUUACCUGGGUUUGACAUGCUAGUAGUAGGGAACUGAAAAGGGACCGACCGCAAGGAGCUAGCACAGGUGCUGCAUGGCUGUCGUCAGCUCGUGCCGUGAGGUGUUCGGUUAAGUCCGCAAACGAGCGCAACCCUCGGCGUUAGUUACACGUGUCUAACGCGACUGCCCGUGAGAAACGGGAGGAAGGUGGGGAUGACGUCAAGUCAGCAUGGCCUUUAUAUCCAGGGCUACACACACGCUACAAUGGGCGGUACAGAGGGUCGCGAAGCCGCGAGGUGGAGCCAAUCCAGAAAGCCGUUCGUAGUUCGAAUUGCAGGCUGCAACUCGCCUGCAUGAAGUCGGAGUUGCUAGUAACCGCGCGUCAGCUAUAGCGCGGUGAAUACGUUCCCGGGCCUUGUACACACCGCCCGUCACGUCAUGGGAGCUGGUCACGCCUGAAGUCGGGAAGCGAACCGCAAGGAGGCUACCGCCGAGGGCAGGGCUGGUGACUGGGACGAAGUCGUAACAAGGUA
rnacentral:rRNA from 1 species